CCGCACGGGUGAGUAACACGUAUCCAACCUGCCGUCUACUCUUGGACAGCCUUCUGAAAGGAAGAUUAAUACAAGAUGGCAUCAUGAGUCCGCAUGUUCACAUGAUUAAAGGUGUUCCGGUAGACGAUGGGGAUGCGUUCCAUUAGAUAGUAGGCGGGGUAACGGCCCACCUAGUCUUCGAUGGAUAGGGGUUCUGAGAGGAAGGUCCCCCACAUUGGAACUGAGACACGGUCCAA
rnacentral:rRNA from 1 species